GGUUAAGCGACUAAGCGUACACGGUGGAUGCCCUGGCAGUCAGAGGCGAUGAAGGACGUGCUAAUCUGCGAUAAGCGUCGGUGAGGUGAUAUGAACCGUUAUAACCGGCGAUUUCCGAAUGGGGAAACCCAGUGUGUUUCGACACACUAUCAUUAACUGAAUCCAUAGGUUAAUGAGGCGAACCGGGGGAACUGAAACAUCUAAGUACCCCGAGGAAAAGAAAUCAACCGAGAUUCCCCCAGUAGCGGCGAGCGAACGGGGAGGAGCCCAGAGCCUGAAUCAGUGUGUGUGUUAGUGGAAGCGUCUGGAAAGGCGCGCGAUACAGGGUGACAGCCCCGUACACAAAAAUGCACAUAUUGUGAGCUCGAUGAGUAGGGCGGGACACGUGGUAUCCUGUCUGAAUAUGGGGGGACCAUCCUCCAAGGCUAAAUACUCCUGACUGACCGAUAGUGAACCAGUACCGUGAGGGAAAGGCGAAAAGAACCCCGGCGAGGGGAGUGAAAAAGAACCUGAAACCGUGUACGUACAAGCAGUGGGAGCCUCUUUAUGGGGUGACUGCGUACCUUUUGUAUAAUGGGUCAGCGACUUAUAUUCUGUAGCAAGGUUAACCGAAUAGGGGAGCCGAAGGGAAACCGAGUCUUAACUGGGCGUUAAGUUGCAGGGUAUAGACCCGAAACCCGGUGAUCUAGCCAUGGGCAGGUUGAAGGUUGGGUAACACUAACUGGAGGACCGAACCGACUAAUGUUGAAAAAUUAGCGGAUGACUUGUGGCUGGGGGUGAAAGGCCAAUCAAACCGGGAGAUAGCUGGUUCUCCCCGAAAGCUAUUUAGGUAGCGCCUCGUGAAUUCAUCUCCGGGGGUAGAGCACUGUUUCGGCAAGGGGGUCAUCCCGACUUACCAACCCGAUGCAAACUGCGAAUACCGGAGAAUGUUAUCACGGGAGACACACGGUGGGUGCUAACGUCCGUCGUGAAGAGGGAAACAACCCAGACCGCCAGCUAAGGUCCCAAAGUCAUGGUUAAGUGGGAAACGAUGUGGGAAGGCCCAGACAGCCAGGAUGUUGGCUUAGAAGCAGCCAUCAUUUAAAGAAAGCGUAAUAGCUCACUGGUCGAGUCGGCCUGCGCGGAAGAUGUAACGGGGCUAAACCAUGCACCGAAGCUGCGGCAGCGACACUAUGUGUUGUUGGGUAGGGGAGCGUUCUGUAAGCCUGUGAAGGUGGCCUGUGAGGGUUGCUGGAGGUAUCAGAAGUGCGAAUGCUGACAUAAGUAACGAUAAAGCGGGUGAAAAGCCCGCUCGCCGGAAGACCAAGGGUUCCUGUCCAACGUUAAUCGGGGCAGGGUGAGUCGACCCCUAAGGCGAGGCCGAAAGGCGUAGUCGAUGGGAAACAGGUUAAUAUUCCUGUACUUGGUGUUACUGCGAAGGGGGGACGGAGAAGGCUAUGUUGGCCGGGCGACGGUUGUCCCGGUUUAAGCGUGUAGGCUGGUUUUCCAGGCAAAUCCGGAAAACCAAGGCUGAGGCGUGAUGACGAGGCACUACGGUGCUGAAGCGACAAAUGCCCUGCUUCCAGGAAAAGCCUCUAAGCAUCAGGUAACAUCAAAUCGUACCCCAAACCGACACAGGUGGUCAGGUAGAGAAUACCAAGGCGCUUGAGAGAACUCGGGUGAAGGAACUAGGCAAAAUGGUGCCGUAACUUCGGGAGAAGGCACGCUGAUAUGUAGGUGAAGCGACUUGCUCGUGGAGCUGAAAUCAGUCGAAGAUACCAGCUGGCUGCAACUGUUUAUUAAAAACACAGCACUGUGCAAACACGAAAGUGGACGUAUACGGUGUGACGCCUGCCCGGUGCCGGAAGGUUAAUUGAUGGGGUUAGCGGUAACGCGAAGCUCUUGAUCGAAGCCCCGGUAAACGGCGGCCGUAACUAUAACGGUCCUAAGGUAGCGAAAUUCCUUGUCGGGUAAGUUCCGACCUGCACGAAUGGCGUAAUGAUGGCCAGGCUGUCUCCACCCGAGACUCAGUGAAAUUGAACUCGCUGUGAAGAUGCAGUGUACCCGCGGCAAGACGGAAAGACCCCGUGAACCUUUACUAUAGCUUGACACUGAACAUUGAGCCUUGAUGUGUAGGAUAGGUGGGAGGCUUUGAAGUGUGGACGCCAGUCUGCAUGGAGCCGACCUUGAAAUACCACCCUUUAAUGUUUGAUGUUCUAACGUUGGCCCGUAAUCCGGGUUGCGGACAGUGUCUGGUGGGUAGUUUGACUGGGGCGGUCUCCUCCUAAAGAGUAACGGAGGAGCACGAAGGUUGGCUAAUCCUGGUCGGACAUCAGGAGGUUAGUGCAAUGGCAUAAGCCAGCUUGACUGCGAGCGUGACGGCGCGAGCAGGUGCGAAAGCAGGUCAUAGUGAUCCGGUGGUUCUGAAUGGAAGGGCCAUCGCUCAACGGAUAAAAGGUACUCCGGGGAUAACAGGCUGAUACCGCCCAAGAGUUCAUAUCGACGGCGGUGUUUGGCACCUCGAUGUCGGCUCAUCACAUCCUGGGGCUGAAGUAGGUCCCAAGGGUAUGGCUGUUCGCCAUUUAAAGUGGUACGCGAGCUGGGUUUAGAACGUCGUGAGACAGUUCGGUCCCUAUCUGCCGUGGGCGCUGGAGAACUGAGGGGGGCUGCUCCUAGUACGAGAGGACCGGAGUGGACGCAUCACUGGUGUUCGGGUUGUCAUGCCAAUGGCACUGCCCGGUAGCUAAAUGCGGAAGAGAUAAGUGCUGAAAGCAUCUAAGCACGAAACUUGCCCCGAGAUGAGUUCUCCCUGAGACUUAGAGUCUCCUGAAGGAACGUUGAAGACGACGACGUUGAUAGGCCGGGUGUGUAAGCGCAGCGAUGCGUUGAGCUAACCGGUACUAAUGAACCGUGAGGCUUAACCUU
rnacentral:rRNA from 1 species